rnacentral:rRNA from 1 species
AUGAUCGCCGUGUCCUUUUUGUUGGCGUGCUUCGCGGCAGCUCUGCAGCCAACGUCGGCCGGCGAGGCUGGAAGGGGUGGGAUCUGGCAUAUCCCUUUUGCGGCCGACCUGGCUCGGGCUCGCUGCCCUUCCAGAUGCGGUGGUGUUGCCAUUCACUAUCCGUGGGGGAUAGGGCCGGGCUGCUUCCGGCAAGGCUUCGAGCUCACCUGCAACAACACCGCUGGUCAUAAGAGGCUCUUUCUGGGCAACAGUACCACUGAGGUCCUUGAGUUGUCUCCCGGAGAAAACGGACUUCGAGUCUCUCCUAUCCACUUCAACGUCACCAAGAAACCAGGUAUGAACGACACCUAUAACAUGUCAUGGGAGGCCCCUGUUAAAGGUGUUAUGGCUUCUGAACAAACUGGCUUGUUCGUUGUUGGUUGCGGUGUGGGUCUCUACUUGUUCGGCCAUGAUACCACCGACCCCAUUGGUUAUUGUGUGAGUGUUUUGCCUAGACGACAAAGAGGCCAUGAAGGAGGCAAAUGCAAACCAGUAUGGCGAUGUUGGGAUGGGUUAUUGUUCCAUUUUUUUGCCGCAGGACAUGCCAGCAUUUGGGUUCACAGUUGACCGCCUCAAAGGCGUCUCAGCACUAUCAGGUCAAGCUCAAGUACUCUCUAAUACUAUCAAAGUUUUCCUGGCGGAGGAUUACAAUUUUCAUGUUGCCGACAUCUAUUCAAGUCGGGUAGACAAAAGAAACAUUGAUGUGGCAGUGCUUCGAAUAGUCAUCACGGAUCAACCAAGCUGUGAAAGUGCUCAGAAGAAAAAGUCAAGCUAUGCUUGUGGCGAUAGCAGCGAUGGCGUCGGUGUACCAUCUGGAGGCUACUCCUGUAGCUCCCGCCCUGACACAACCGGCAACAACCCGUACCUUAUGGAUGGUUGUCAACAAGGUCAAGCAAUACAAUCCCAAUCAUAGAGGAGGUUGCACCAAAUUUUGCGGGAACACAAGUAUGCACUUCCCUUUUGGGCUUGAAAAAGGUUGCUACGCUGCUGAAAAGUUUUGACUUAACUGUACAUCAGAGAACAUCACAAUUCUUGAUCGAGGGGGUAACAAUAUUAAUGAAGGCGCCAAAUUAAUUGUGGACAACAUUUCAGUGAAUGAAGGAUAUCUUAAUGUUAGAGAAACAAAGAAUAACUUAAGGUAUGGUAAUGAAGAGCUCGCGGUAAUAGGUUAUAGAAGCAAUGGGGACUAGGAAGUAGAAGACAUCUCUUCAGAUGGUUUUCAUUUAUCCGAAGAAUACGGUAUGAAGUUGUUGUGGUCUGUCGAUAAUUUGACCUGUUCGAAGGCUAUGAGCAAGCAAAUAAGUGCUACAUAUGCAUGUCGUAGCAGCAAUAGCACUUGCAUUAUUGUCAACCAACCAGGCUACAAGAAUGUGACAAUGCAGCUCGGCUAUCGUUGCCAGUGCUCUCAAGGUUUUUAUGGAAAUCCAUACAUACUGAACGGAUGCCAAGAUGUCAAUGAGUGUUUGUUGAUGAAUAUUUGCAACGGCCCUUGCCUAAAUUAUCCUGGAGGCUAUAGUUGCAGUGAGUGCACGCAUGGAAAAGAGUUUGAUCCAAUAGAACUCAAAUGUGUCAUGUCAAAAAAGAGACACAAUCUUCUCUUAGGUAUCACAAUUGGAAUUAGUUGUGGCCUUGGUGCCAUAAUUCUUGUGGUAGGCGCCACAGUACUCAUCAACAAGUGGAAGAGAGGCAUACAGAAGAGAAUUCGAAGGACAUACUUCAAGAGAAAUCAAGGCCUACUCUUGGAACAACUAAUAUUAGAUGAAAGUGCCACAGAUAAAACAAAGAUAUUCUCUUUGGAGGAAUUAGAUAAAGCAACCAACAACUUUGAUGUCAGUCAUAUUCUUGGUCAUGGAGGACAUGGCACGGUUUACAAAGGGAUUCUAUCCGACCAACGUGUAGUGGCCAUAAAAAAGUCUAAGCUGGUGGAGCAAACUGAGAUUGACCAGUUUAUCAACGAGGUUGCCAUCCUGUCACAAAUCAUUCAUCGGAAUGUGGUCAAGCUUUUUGGUUGUUGUCUCGAAACAGAAGUGCCUUUGCUAGUUUAUGAGUUCAUAUCCAAUGGCACCCUAUAUGAUCUUCUUCACAUUGAUGUAAGUGUUCAGUGCUUACUUUUAUGGGGUGAUCGCAUUAGGAUUGCAGUAGAAGCUGCAGGUGCUCUUGCUUAUCUGCACUCAGCUGCUGCGAUACCAAUUUUCCAUAGAGAUGUCAAAUCUUCCAAUAUACUCCUAGAUGGCAACUUUACUACCAAGGUUUCUGACUUUGGUGCUUCGAGGUCUUUAUCACUUGAUCAGACACAUGUAGUGACAAUUGUACAAGGAACUUUUGGUUACUUAGACCCCGAGUACUACCACACUGGGGAGCUGAGUGAGAAGAGUGAUGUUUAUAGCUUUGGAAUUAUACUGGUGGAGCUUCUAAUGAGAAAGAAGCCAGUUUUUAUUAAUGAACAAGGUAUAAAGCAAAGCUUGGCUCAUUACUUUGUGGAAGGACUUCAGCAGGGAGUUCUCAUGGAAAUCAUGGAUCCCCAAGUUGCGGAAGAAGCGAACCAGAAUGAAAUUGAUGACAUUGCCUCAGUUGCGGAAGCAUGCUUGAAAACCAAAGGAAAAGAAAGACCUACCAUGAAAGAGGUAGAAAUGAAGUUGCAACUCCUGAAAACUAGAAGAUUAAGGAGUCAACUUCCUCCCAUAAAUGAUGGAGAGAUCGAGUCAUUUGGGUGCCUAAAUGGCGCUAGCUCUCAUGCACAGAGCAACGGCAUUGUCAGUAAUGUUGGCUUAACACCUACAUGCAGCUCCGGAAAGUACAGUCUGGAGCAAGAGUUUUUGAACUCGGCCAGCUUGCCACGCUAG